GAUGAACGCUGGCGGCGUGCCUAAUACAUGCAAGUCGAGCGAACAGACGAGGAGCUUGCUCCUUUGGCGUUAGCGGCGGACGGGUGAGUAACACGUGGAUAACCUACCUAUAAGACUGGGAUAAUUUCGGGAAACCGGAGCUAAUACCGGAUAAUAUAUUGAACCGCAUGGUUCAAUAGUGAAAGACGGCUUUGCUGUCACUUAUAGCUGGAUCCGCGCCGCAUUAGCUAGUUGGUAAGGUAACGGCUUACCAAGGCAACGAUGCGUAGCCGACCUGAGAGGGUGAUCGGCCACACUGGAACUGAGACACGGUCCAGACUCCUACGGGAGGCAGCAGUAGGGAAUCUUCCGCAAUGGGCGAAAGCCUGACGCAGCAACGCCGCGUGAGUGAUGAAGGUCUUCGGAUCGUAAAACUCUGUUAUUAGGGAAGAACAGAUGUGUAAGUAACUAUGCACGUCUUGACGGUACCUAAUCAAAAAGCCACGGCUAACUACGUG
rnacentral:rRNA from 1 species